CUGUGUGUGUUUGUGUUCUUUUUUCUUAAAAAAAAAAAAUUAUUGUGGUUUUGCUGCAGAGGGAGAGAACCAUUCUUGCCUCAGAUACCAAAGAGCUACUUGAGGAUCAGGGAUGGGAGGAUGACAGUUAAGUUGGUGAUCAAGUACUUGGUUAAGAAGCUUGGAUUGGAGAAUGAAUCAGAGGUAGAGAUUACAUGUCGAGGGCAACGGCUUUUUCCGUCCCAGACGCUGCAGCACGUACGCGACAACGUAUGGUGUUCGAGAGAUGCGGUGUCGCUACCCCUACUUGACCGAUCGACAACCCCCGAUCAUGUGAUGAUGAUCUUGCAAUACGGUAGAAGCGCGUAGAUGUUGACCGUUGAUCGUCGAUCGGUCGCGUGACUAAAUUCUUUUCUUUCUUUCUUUUUUUGAUAUAUCCUCCUUUUUCUUUUUGAUCAUGUUUUGUGCUUUGCUGUGAUCUAAUUCAUUGAGGAAACAACACAGCUUGGAAAUACUCUAGCUGGGGCAAGAACAUGGUAUACGAGAUGAUCAAAAGAUCAGGGAAGUGUAUUAAUUUCCAAGCCAUCUUUGGUGGUGGCUUGACUUUUUUUUUUUUUCUUUUUUUUGUUUUUUCUAUUUCUAAUCUACUAAUUCCUCAAUUUAAGCAAUUAAUCUCUUUGUUUUCUCCA